rnacentral:rRNA from 1 species
ACGUAGGGUGCGAGCGUUAAUCGGAAUUACUGGGCGUAAAGCGUGCGCAGGCGGUUAUUUAAGACAGAUGUGAAAUCCCCGGGCUCAACCUUGGAACUGCAUUAGUGACUGCAUAGCUGGAGUACGGCAGAGGGGGAUGGAAUUCCUCGUGUAGCAGUGAAAUGCGUAGAUAUGCGGAGGAACACCGAUGGCGAAGGCAAUCCACUGGGCCUGUACUGACGCUCAUGCACGAAAGCGUGGGGAGCAAACAG